rnacentral:rRNA from 1 species
GGUAAUACGGAGGGUGCAAGCGUUAUCCGGAAUCAUUGGGUUUAAAGGGUCCGCAGGCGGUCAAUUAAGUCAGAGGUGAAAUCCCAUAGCUUAACUAUGGAACUGCCUUUGAUACUGGUUGACUUGAGUUAUACGGAAGUAGAUAGAAUGUGUAGUGUAGCGGUGAAAUGCAUAGAUAUUACACAGAAUACCGAUUGCGAAGGCAGUCUACUACGUAUAUACUGACGCUCAUGGACGAAAGCGUGGGGAGCGAACRGGAUUAGAUACCCYGGUAGUCCACGCCGUAAACGAUGGAYACUAGUUGUUGGGAUUUAUCUCAGUGACUAAGCGAAAGUGAUAAGUGUCCCACCUGGGGAG